rnacentral:lncRNA from 1 species
GACAAGAGGAUGGGACUGCAGUUGUGGCUGCCAGGGCCCCGGCCAGGGUGAAAACAAGGAACAUUCCAGAGAAGAUCACAAGGAUGCGAAUAAAAUCGGAGCUGCACAGGGAUCUUUGGGCUGUAAUAGGAGGGGACACACAGGGGUUGGAGUGCAGUGGCACGAUCUCGGCUCAGUGCAACCUCCGCCUCCUGAGUUCAAGUGAUUCUCCUGCCUCAGCCUCCCUAGUAGCUGGGAUUACAGGACAAGGAGAGGGACAAAUUCCUUCUUGGCAUCCUUAUGGCCCUGUGACCUGCUAAUGAAUGCUGACUCUGAGUUGCUACUAGAAUUUGGUUUCCUUGUGGCUUCCCAGGAAUUGUGAGCCAUGUUGGAUAAGGACCUGCAAGGGAAGAAUGAGGAAGCCUGGGACAGUGCAGGAGGGGAGAGCACUGGUGGUAGAGAGGAGUGAUGACAAGGGUCUCCGCCAAAAGGGAAAUGGAGGGGUUAAAGAAGCUGCUGGGGAGGGUUAAAAACAAUGUGUUCUCACUCGUAGGUGGGAAUUGAACAAUGAGAACACUUGGACACAGGAAGGGGAACAUCACACACUGGGGCCUGUCGUGGGGUGUGGGGAGGGAGGAGGGAUAGCAUUAGGAGAUAUACCUAAUGUAAAUGAUGAGUUAAUGGGUGCAGCACACCAACAUGGCACAUGUAUACCUAUGUAACAAACCUGCACAUUGUGUACAUGUACCCUAGAACUUAAAGUAUAAUUAAAAAACAAAACAAAACAAAACAAAAACAAUGAGGUGCUAUUGUUUUAGUGGUGAGUAUCCGGAGACCUGGGAGUUCUAUUUACCAGGUAUAACCUGGGCUCAAAAUUCCAGGCUGACUUCAGGCAUGUCCUCAUCUCAUAGAUGCCAGCACUAAGGCCCAGAGAGGGCCGAGCUCAUUCAGCCCACCCAUCUUCUCACCCCUGACUGCAUUUCCCGGGGGUCCUUCUGCAGCCAGGUGCUGCUGUGGUACUUUGGGAUCUAUUGGCUGAGCUCCCAGAGAAGGGUCAUGGAUUGGGCUAGUUUGGAACAAGUGAAGGGACUGAAGAUGGGCUCAGUAUGGGGCGAAGACCUUCAGGAAGGGUCUGCAGAGUGAGUAGGGGGGUUUUGACUAGGAAAAGUUCCAACCCUGCCGGGGCCGCUGUCAAGAGAAAAGCAUCUAUUACAGUUACAUUUUUAAGUUAAGUAGACUGAAGAAUAUUUCUUGUGUAUUAAAGACGUUCCUUUUUGGUUGAUUUGCAAUGGAAAAGCUUUUGUUUUCUUUUUUUUUUUGGAAACAGGGUCUCACUCUGCUCACUCUGUCUCCCAAGCUGGAGUGCAGUGGUACAGUCACGGCUCACUGCAGCCUCCACUUCCUGGACUCAAGUGAUCUUCUCACUUCAGCCUUCUGAGUAGCUGGGACUACAGCCCCCUCUGCAGCUCUUCAUGGGGGUCCACUCAAGUCAGAAGCCACAUUUGGGUGUGAUUCAGAGAGCUGUUUAUGCAAAACCAGCUUUGUCACCAUCAGGCAAGGCACCUGAAUUCCCACCGCAGAGAGUGUUGUGGCCGUGAGGACUUUUCUGUCACCAGCCAUUUCCAGGUAGACCCAGUGUAAUCACAAGCAUCCUUGUAAGUGGCAAAGAGGCAGAGGAGACAGCGCCAGAGAGGCAGCUGCAUGAGAAGGAUCAAGAUGUUGCUGACUUUGAAGUUGGAAGAAGAAGGCCAUGAGCCUCAGUAUGUGGGCGGCUUCUAGAAGCUGGAAGGGGCAAGGAGAUGGAUUUGACCCUUCAGCCUCCAGGGGCAGCUGUACCUGCCAUCACUGAUUGUAGCCUGGUGAGGCCUGUUUUAGACUUCUGACCUGUAGAGCUGUAACAUAAUACAUUUGGGUUGUUUUCAACCACUAAGUUUGUGGUAAUUUGUUGUAGCAGCUGUAGAAAAUGAAUACAUAUGAAUCCUCUGGCAUUUGUUUGAGAUUUGCUCUAUGGCCUAGUAUGUGGUUGUAAAUGUUCCAUCUGUGCCUGAAAAAAUGUAUAUUUCUAAUUCAGUAGUCUCUGCUUUUUUUUUUUAUUUUGUACCCCAUCAAUAAAAUGAUUUUCAGCAUGUAUCCCCAAAUAAACAAUAUUUUAUUUAUUGAUUGAUUGAUAAACAGACAUGUUUAAUGAUAGCUUGCUUUUCACAGAGGUGACUUCGGAGACUUCUAAUCUAUAAUCCAGGAGUAUAUAACCAUG